rnacentral:misc_RNA from 1 species
GAUGAAGAACGUAGCGAAAUGCGAUAAGUAAUGUGAAUUGCAGAAUUCAGUGAAUCAUCGAAUCUUUGAACGCAUCUUGCGCUCCUUGGUAUUCUGAGGAGCAUGCCUGUUUGAGUGUCAUUAAAUUCUCAACUACACUGACUUUGAAUUGGUGUGGCUUGGAUUUGGGGGGAAAAUUGUUGUGGGCUUUUUGUAUAGUCUGCUCCCCUGAAAUUGAUUAGCGGUACCUUUGUGGAACUGUCUACAGGUGUGAUAAUUAUCUACAUCUUAGACAUCUGCUGGAAUGCUGCUUUCUAAACCUUACUUGUAUUGACAAUCUUGACCUCAAAUCAGGUAGGACUACCCGCUGAACUUAAGCAUAUCAAUAAGGGAGGA